rnacentral:rRNA from 2 species
AGGUGUGAUCAUACCAACACUAAUGCAUCGAAUCCCAUCAGAACUCCGCAGUUAAGAGUGCUUGGGCGAGAGUAGUACUAGGAUAGGUGACCUCCUGGGAAGUCCUCGUUUUGCGCCUC